AUGGGAACGCGAAGAACCUUACCUAGACUUGACAUCUCCUGAAUAGUGUAGAGAUACAUGAAGCCCUUCGGGGCGAGGAAGACAGGUGGUGCAUGGUUGUCGUCAGCUCGUGUCGUGAGAUGUUGGGUUAAGUCCCGCAACGAGCGCAACCCCUCGUCCUUUCGUUUGUCACGCACGUAAUAGGUGGGAACGUACAGGGAAGGACUGCCGGGUCGGAUAAACCGGAACGGGAAGGUAGGGGAGUGACGUCAAGUCAUCAUGGCCCGUUACCGGCCGAGGGCGUACACACGUGCUACAAUGGCGCGUACAGAGGGCGUGCAAGCUAGCGAUAGUGAGCGAAUCCCAAAAACGACGCGUCGUAGUCCGGAUCGGAGUCUGCAACUCGACUCCGUGAAGUCGGAAUCGCUAGUAAUCGCAAAUCAGAAUGUUGCGGUGAAUACGUUCCCGGGUCUUGUACACACCG
rnacentral:rRNA from 1 species